UACGAAGGGGCUAGCGUUGCUCGGAAUGACUGGGCGUAAAGGGCGCGUAGGCGGACGGCUUUGUCGGGCGUGAAAUUCCAGGGCUUAACCUUGGGGCUGCGUUCGAGACGGGUUGUCUAGAGCUUGGAAGAGGGUCGUGGAAUUCCCAGUGUAGAGGUGAAAUGCGUAGAUAUCGGAAGGAACAUCAGUGGCGAAAGCGGCUUCCUGGUCCAGCACCGACGUUCAGGUACGAAAGCGUGGGGAGCAAACAGG
rnacentral:rRNA from 1 species